rnacentral:rRNA from 1 species
AGAACGAACGCUGGCGGCAUGCCUAACACAUGCAAGUCGAACGAGACCUUCGGGUCUAGUGGCGCACGGGUGCGUAACGCGUGGGAAUCUGCCCUUGGGUUCGGAAUAACAGUUAGAAAUGACUGCUAAUACCGGAUGAUGUCUUCGGACCAAAGAUUUAUCGCCCAAGGAUGAGCCCGCGUAAGAUUAGGUAGUUGGUGGGGUAAAGGCCUACCAAGCCGACGAUCUUUAGCUGGUCUGAGAGGAUGAUCAGCCACACUGGGACUGAGACACGGCCCAGACUCCUACGGGAGGCAGCAGUGGGGAAUAUUGGACAAUGGGCGAAAGCCUGAUCCAGCAAUGCCGCGUGAGUGAUGAAGGCCUUAGGGUCGUAAAGCUCUUUUACCCGGGAUGAUAAUGACAGUACCGGGAGAAUAAGCCCCGGCUAACUCCGUGCCAGCAGCCGC